CUCUUCUUCUUCUUCCCUCUUUACUGUGAUAAUAAUGGCUACUGCAUCCAACUCGGUACUCUUCCUGAGCUCUGACUCACUGAGUCAUCAUCACAACCAUACCAGAACCCACCUCCAGAUCCCAUUCCGUUUCUCUCACACCCACCAAGCAAUCGAAAUCCCUCUCGCUUCGUUGCUCCAACAAUGGCGAUAACAUCUCAUCCCCAAAAGACACCCCAAUCGAACUCACGUUUCCAACGGUCAUGGACAUUAACCAGAUCAGAGAGAUACUGCCUCACAGGUUCCCCUUUCUGCUGGUGGAUAGAGUGAUUGAGUAUACACACCUGGCGUUUCAGCUGUAGCUUAUCAAGAACGUCACUAUCAAUGACAACUUCUUCCCUGGUCAUUUCCCUGAUCGACCCAUCAUGCAUUGAGCCGGAAGUAGGAGGGUCUCAGGAUAAUAACUUCUUCUUUGCUGGUAUUGAUAAAGUGAGGUUCCGCAAGCCUGUGAUUGCUGGAGACACGUUGGUGAUGAGGAUGACUCUUGUCAAGUUCCAGAAACGGUUCGGGCUUGCUAAGAUGGAAGGUAAAGCUUAUGUGGGUCUGCGAGGGAGAGUUCAUGAUGGCAGUUCUUGAUCUCUCACUUGCUAUAUAUGUCUGUUUCUUCUUAUGCUUCUUUUUACCCUUUUUGUGAUUCUUUAUUCAUGUCUUCUUUAUUGAAUGAAUCUUCAGACACAUUGAAAUAGAGCAAGCUGUGACUAUAGAAAUCCAUUUUAAUAGAUCAUAACACAAGGAGGGACAAACAUAGUUACUCUCAAAUCUAUUACACAUUUGAUCCAAAAGCUUAGCUUAAUCUUCUCACAAAUUAAACAGCUCAGAUCAUAUUAUCACACAAAUUAAACUUAAGCUUCUUGAUAUGCCUCUCUCUUCCGCAAUUCAAAUUAUUUAUAAACUAAAACAAUGAAG